rnacentral:rRNA from 1 species
GAUGAACGUUGUCGGCGUGCCUAAUACAUGCAAGUCGAGCGAACAGACGAGGAGCUUGCUCCUCUGACGUUAGCGGCGGACGGGUGAGUAACACGUGGAUAACCUACCUAUAAGACUGGGAUAACUUCGGGAAACCGGAGCUAAUACCGGAUAAUAUAUUGAACCGCAUGGUUCAAUAGUGAAAGACGGUUUUGCUGUCACUUAUAGAUGGAUCCGCGCCGCAUUAGCUAGUUGGUAAGGUAACGGCUUACCAAGGCGACGAUGCGUAGCCGACCUGAGAGGGUGAUCGGCCACACUGGAACUGAGACACGGUCCAGACUCCUACGGGAGGCAGCAGUAGGGAAUCUUCCGCAAUGGGCGAAAGCCUGACGGAGCAACGCCGCGUGAGUGAUGAAGGUCUUCGGAUCGUAAAACUCUGUUAUUAGGGAAGAACAAAUGUGUAAGUAACUAUGCACGUCUUGACGGUACCUAAUCAGAAAGCCACGGCUAACUACGUG